rnacentral:rRNA from 1 species
CCAACAGGGAUUGCCUCAGUAACGGCGAGUGAAGCGGCAACAGCUCAAAUUUGAAAUCUGGCGCAAGCCCGAGUUGUAAUUUGCAGAGGAUGCUUCUGGUGCGGUGCCUUCCAAGUCCCCUGGAACGGGGCGCCAUAGAGGGUGAGAGCCCCGUCGGGUCGGCCGCCAAGCCUGUGUGAAGCUCCUUCGACGAGUCGAGUAGUUUGGGAAUGCUGCUCUAAACGGGAGGUAGACCCCUUCUAAAGCUAAAUACCGGCCAGAGACCGAUAGCGCACAAGUAGAGUGAUCGAAAGAUGAAAAGCACUUUGAAAAGAGGGUUAAACAGUACGUGAAAUUGUUGAAAGGGAAGCGCUUGUGACCAGACGUGCGCCGGGUGUUCAGCGGGCGUUCUCGCCCGUGUACUCGCCCCGGCGCAGGCCAGCGUCGGUUUGGGCGGGGGGACAAAGGUGCCAGGAACGUGGCUCCCUCGGGAGUGUUAUAGCCUGGUGCGUCAUGCCCCCGCCUGGACCGAGGUUCGCGCUCCGCAAGGACGCUGGCGUAAUGGUCCCCAGCGGCCCGUCUUGAAACACGGACCAAGGAGUCGAGGUUUUACGCGAGUGUCUGGGUGUCAAACCCGCACGCGUAAUGAAAGUGAACGUAGGUGGGAGCUUCGGCGCACCACCGACCGAUCCUGAUGUUUUCGGAUGGAUUUGAGUAGGAGCGUAGGGCCUCGGACCCGAAAGAUGGUGAACUAUACUUGGAUAGGGUGAAGCCAGAGGAAACUCUGGUGGAGGCUCGCAGCGGUUCUGACGUGCAAAUCGAUCGUCAAAUCUGAGUAUGGGGGCGAAAGACUAAUCGAACCAU